UGAGCAACAGGAACAAACUGCUGGAGCCAA
rnacentral:piRNA from 2 species